AACGAACGCUGGCGGCAUGCCUAACACAUGCAAGUCGAACGAGACCUUCGGGUCUAGUUGCGCACGGGUGCGUAACGCGUGGGAACCUGCCCUUAGGUUCGGAAUAACUCCCCGAAAGGGGUGCUAAUACCGGUUAAUGUCUUCGGACCAAGGAUUUAUCGCCUUUGGAUGGGCCCGGGUUGGAUUAGCUAGUUGGUAGGGUAAAAGCCUACCAAGGCGACGAUCCAUAGCUGGUCUGAGAGGAUGAUCAGCCACACUGGGACUGAGACACGGCCCAGACUCCUACGGGAGGCAGCAGUGGGGAAUAUUGGACAAUGGGCGAUAGCCUGAUCCAGCAAUGCCGCGUGAGUGAUGAAGGCCUUAGGGUUGUAAAGCUCUUUUACCCGGGAUGAUAAUGACAGUACCGGGAGAAUAAGCUCCGGCUAACUCCGUG
rnacentral:rRNA from 1 species